UACGAAGGGGGCUAGCGUUGGUCGGAAUUACUGGGCGUAAAGAGCGCGUAGGCGGUUCUUCAAGUCAGAGGUGAAAGCCCAGGGCUCAACCCUGGAAUGGCCUUUGAGACUAGAGAACUAGGGUACGGGAGAGGUGAGUGGAAUUCCGAGUGUAGAGGUGAAAUGCGUAGAUAUCGGGAGGAACACCGGUGGCGAAGGCGACCCGCUGGCCAGCAACUGACACUGAGACGCGAAAGCGUGGGGAGCAAACAGG
rnacentral:rRNA from 1 species